rnacentral:rRNA from 1 species
CCUACGGGGGGCAGCAGUGGGGAAUAUUGGACAAUGGGGGGAACCCUGAUCCAGCCAUGCCGCGUGUGUGAAGAAGGCCCUCGGGUUGUAAAGCACUUUCAGUGAGGAAGAACGCCUGGUGGUUAAUACCCAUCAGGAAAGACAUCACUCACAGAAGAAGCACCGGCUAACUCCGUGCCAGCAGCCGCGGUAAUACGGAGGGUGCGAGCGUUAAUCGGAAUUACUGGGCGUAAAGCGCGCGUAGGUGGCUUGAUAAGCCGGUUGUGAAAGCCCCGGGCUCAACCUGGGAACGGCAUCCGGAACUGUCAGGCUAGAGUGCAGGAGAGGAAGGUAGAAUUCCCGGUGUAGCGGUGAAAUGCGUAGAGAUCGGGAGGAAUACCAGUGGCGAAGGCGGCCUUCUGGACUGACACUGACACUGAGGUGCGAAAGCGUGGGUAGCAAACAGGAUUAGAUACCCCUGUAGUC